CCAUGCCGUAAACGAUGAUUACUAGGUGUGGGGGGAUUGACCCCCUCCGUGCCGCAGUUAACACAAUAAGUAAUCCACCUGGGGAGUACGACCGCAAGGUUGAAACUCAAAGGAAUUGACGGGGGCCCGCACAAGCAGUGGAGUAUGUGGUUUAAUUCGAAGCAACGCGAAGAACCUUACCAGGUCUUGACAUCGGAUGCAUAUCUAAGAGAUUAGAGAAGUCUUUCGGGACAUCCAGACAGGUGGUGCAUGGUUGU
rnacentral:rRNA from 1 species